AAUCAUGCCUUCUUGACUUUCAUACUCUGCUCUCUCAGCCCCCUGGGGAUGACGUGCUCCGCUCCGCACAGCACAUCUCCAAGCUGCAGGCAGUGCAACCUGCUAUUUAUGCCAUCACGUCUCGCCGAGUGCUGACAAAAAGGACAAAUUUCCCCAUCUGUGAGAUGACAGUGAUUCCGCCGGCAGCCCAGGAGCACCCAAAAGUGUGACGACUCUUAACACUGCACGUUAAAGGGAAUAAUUGAUGAGUGAAGGCUUCAACCCAGAUGUCCUGUCUUAGCAGCCACGUGCGUAAUACCUGGGCUGGAUUCUUUCUCAGGAUGGGGAUUUCCAUUUUACAGCCACAUCCCAUUUCUACUGGCUGCUGCACAGAGGCGAUGAUAGCCUACCACCUGGUAGCAGGUGAUGGAGUUGCUUCUUUAUCUCUAGUGCUCGGUUCAGUGCUGAAGGCCCUGGGUUCAAACACUGCUGACUACGUUGCAAGGAGAGAGGCUUUAAAGUGACCUGGACACAGGGCCAAGUCCCAGGAACAGGCAGGUUCAGAGGUGCAGCAGCCAUCAGGGAGAGAGCUGCCAUGCCACGCCCGGCCAUGAGGAGGCGCCAGCAACCCUUUUUGCCUUCAUCCCCAGCCUGUGACACUGAACUGAGGGCUCUGUAGACUGUACUGUACUGUGACUAACCAGCAGGAAUCGCUGCUUGAGGGAUAAACAUCUGGCCUUCUCCCCAGUCCUCUUUUCUGGAAGCUGUGCAUGCCACCUUCAUCAUUGCAACAAAUCCACUGCGUGAUCAGCAGAGCAGCUGGACCGCUGUGGAGCUCAUAUCUCUCAGCCUGCCACGGCCGAAAGGAGAGACGUGGGACUGGACGUUUAAAAUGUAUAACAGAAACUCAAAGGAGAGACAUCGGGAUGGUAACACAAGGAGGAGGAAGCUGGCAAUGCUGUGGGCUUCAUUUCUGUGACAUGCAUGUUUUCCAUUAUCCGAGCUCCACAGUUCUGUAUUUUCAGUAUUCUACCAGCAGGAAGAGAACAGGAACUCCCUUUGGACGAUCAGCAUGAUUGAGUAGCUAGAGCACUGGAUUGCAAGGUAAGAGAGCUGUGUUCUGUUCCGGGUUCUGCUGUGUUGCCUCCUCUCCUUCAGCUGCCUUGUCCAUUUAGAGAAUGAGCUGCAUGGGCAACCAUCUCUCACAACGCACUUGGACAAUGUCCAGCACCAUAGGGCCAUAAUCUCCGUUGUUA